rnacentral:rRNA from 1 species
AACGCUAGCUACAGGCUUAACACAUGCAAGUCGAGGGGAAACGACAUCGAAAGCUUGCUUUUGAUGGGCGUCGACCGGCGCACGGGUGAGUAACGCGUAUCCAACCUGCCCACCACUUGGGGAUAACCUUGCGAAAGUAAGACUAAUACCCAAUGAUAUCUCUAGAAGACAUCUGAAGGAGAUUAAAGAUUUAUCGGUGAUGGAUGGGGAUGCGUCUGAUUAGCUUGUUGGCGGGGUAACGGCCCACCAAGGCGACGAUCAGUAGGGGUUCUGAGAGGAAGGUCCCCCACAUUGGAACUGAGACACGGUCCAAACUCCUACGGGAGGCAGCAGUGAGGAAUAUUGGUCAAUGGACGAGAGUCUGAACCAGCCAAGUAGCGUGCAGGAAGACGGCCCUAUGGGUUGUAAACUGCUUUUAUAAGGGAAUAAAGUGAGAGUCGUGACUCUUUUUGCAUGUACCUUAUGAAUAAGGACCGGCUAAUUCCGUGCCAGCAGCCGCGGUAAUACGGAAGGUCCGGGCGUUAUCCGGAUUUAUUGGGUUUAAAGGGAGCGUAGGCCGGAGAUUAAGCGUGUUGUGAAAUGUAGAUGCUCAACAUCUGAACUGCAGCGCGAACUGGUUUCCUUGAGUACGCACAAAGUGGGCGGAAUUCGUGGUGUAGCGGUGAAAUGCUUAGAUAUCACGAAGAACUCCGAUUG